rnacentral:rRNA from 1 species
CUUACACUGGAUCUUGAGGAAAACACACCUGAUCUUUUCUGAUUUCAGAAGCUAAGCAGGUCAAACCUGAUUAGUACUUGGGUGGGAGACCACAUGGGAAUCCUGGGUGCUGUAGGC